UACAGAGGUCCCAAGCGUUGUUCGGAUUCACUGGGCGUAAAGGGUGCGUAGGUGGUAAGGCAAGUCAGGUGUGAAAUCUCCGGGCUCAACCCGGAAAUGGCAUUCGAAACUACCUUGCUAGAGGGUUUGAGGGGGGACUGGAAUACUUGGUGUAGCAGUGAAAUGCGUAGAUAUCAAGUGGAACACCAGUGGCGAAGGCGAGUCCCUGGACCGAGAUUGACACUGAUGAGCGAAAGCUAGGGGAGCAAACGGG
rnacentral:rRNA from 1 species